GGCAACAGCUCAAAUUUGAAAGCUAGCCUUCGGGUUCGCAUUGUAAUUUGUAGAGGAUGAUUUGGGGAAGCCGCCUGUCUAAGUUCCUUGGAACAGGACGUCAUAGAGGGUGAGAAUCCCGUAUGUGACAGGAAAUGGCACCCUAUGUAAAUCUCCUUCGACGAGUCGAGUUGUUUGGGAAUGCAGCUCUAAAUGGGAGGUAAAUUUCUUCUAAAGCUAAAUAUUGGCGAGAGACCGAUAGCGCACAAGUAGAGUGAUCGAAAGAUGAAAAGCACUUUGGAAAGAGAGUUAAAAAGCACGUGAAAUUGUUGAAAGGGAAGCGCUUGCAAUCAGACUUGUUUAAACUGUUCGGCCGGUCUUCUGACCGGUUUACUCAGUUUGGACAGGCCAGCAUCAGUUUCGGCGGCCGGAUAAAGGCUCUGGGAAUGUGGCCUCCACUUCGGUGGAGGUGUUAUAGCCCAGGGUGUAAUACGGCCAGCCGGGACUGAGGUCCGCGCUUCGGCUAGGAUGCUGGCGUAAUGGUUGUAAGCGACCCGUCUUGAAACACGGACCAAGGAGUCUAACAUCUAUGCGAGUGUUCGGGUGUCAAA
rnacentral:rRNA from 1 species